rnacentral:rRNA from 1 species
GAUGAACGCUGGCGGCGUGCCUAAUACAUGCAAGUAGAACGCUGAAGCUUGGUGCUUGCACCGAGCGGAUGAGUUGCGAACGGGUGAGUAACGCGUAGGUAACCUGCCUCUUAGCGGGGGAUAACUAUUGGAAACGAUAGCUAAUACCGCAUAAAAGUCGAUAUUGCAUGAUAUUGACUUGAAAGGUGCAAAUGCAUCACUAAGAGAUGGACCUGCGUUGUAUUAGCUAGUUGGUGAGGUAACGGCUCACCAAGGCGACGAUACAUAGCCGACCUGAGAGGGUGAUCGGCCACACUGGGACUGAGACACGGCCCAGACUCCUACGGGAGGCAGCAGUAGGGAAUCUUCGGCAAUGGGGGCAACCCCUGACCGAGCAAACGCCCGCGUGAGUGAAAGAAAGGUUUUUCGGGAUUCGUAAAAGCUUCUGUUGUAAAG